GACAGAAGGAUGUAGAGAACCACGUGGAAACGAAGGCGAGCGCUCGAGGCCCUCGCAUGCUGAAAGGUCUCCGUUGGGAGUCAGGGACGCCAUCCUUCGCCGUGGGCGUGACGAAAGGACGCCUGUCCCUUCUCUGGGGAUUGCUAGAGGAACGGUGAGCCAAGAAAGGAGGUUACUUUCAUUCAUCCCAGGGCGCGAAGGGGCUGUCAGCGAAAUGUGGGUCGUGUCAGAAGUGGCUUCAGGACUGGAGGUAGCCCGGCGCCGGAGCUGUGUUCUGCGUGGGGCUGGCGAGGGCGGCCAAGGGGUGCCCCGGAGAGGCUGGGCACAGCCCGGCGCCCACCUCCUCGUCCUGGGGCUCUGCUCUCCCCUUCUCAACUCUCUCUCUCACUUUGCUGUGAGGCUCCACCCAGGGGACAGUGUGGACACGAGGUCCCCUGCACGGGGCCGCCCCUCAGGUGACACUUGCUCGGGCUGCCGCCCACUUGGGUUUACCCCCCCCACCCCCCCAGGUACAGCUGCACAGCCCUUCAGAGGCGGGGCGCUUCCGGCUGCCUCACCUUGGCUUUGCCAGGGGUCCAGGCCCCAGGAUGGGAGAAAGUCUCUUGAUAAGAGUCGGGAGAUCUGAACUUGGCAAAGAGCGUUCCGGCCGGGGCCUGGGCCCUCCUUUGUAGCACAGGGGCAGGAAAUGCCUUUUCUGAGGUCUGUUCUAACCGUUUUGAUUUUUGAGCCAGAGAACAGCUUUUGGAGCCACUGAUUUGCUCCCCCACCCCCUUCAGGAAGAUGAGGCCAGAGAAGAACAGGACACAAGAACUGGGAACCCGGUUCAGCAGGCCCCGAGCACCAGGAGCCCCCGGGGGCUGAAAUGGCUGCACAGCAACUGCACCGUCCAGGGCUCUAAGGCGACGGCUGCCAGACAGGUUGUGUGGUGAAGAUGCACAGAGUGAAAGUCACCCCCCGACACAGAGAGUCUGGGGCCAGGCUUCUGGAAAACAACCCGAGAGACGAAACCAACAGUAAGCAGGUGACCCAAGGAUGGAUAUGAGGAGGCAGGAGGCACAGGACCGGCCCCGUCUCCCUCGUGACCUCCCCGGCCACCAGUCACUAAGGUCUCUGGGUGACGUUCUUAGUUCUUUGUAACCCGGUUCUGCUGACAACUCGUGUCAGGGCCGGGAGUCGGCUGGAGUAUCUGCUCGGAAGGGACUCCACGCCUCCCGCAGCCGAAGAGUAGGAAUCACAGGAUGAACCUCAACCCCAAAGGUCAGAGCCAGGUGCCCUCCCCGUUCCCGCACCCCUGCCACGCGCACACACUCACAUGCAGGCCCAGGCACACACACGUGCACAUGCACACACGCGGGCCCAGGCACGCACGCGCACACACGCAUCCAAAUGUACUUCUCUCUUCAGGCUCAAUGAGCUAAAUAUGACCCCCGACUUAGGACAUACCUAUGUGUAUUAAAUAUACAUAUGUAUCUGCCCUCAUCCCACAUGUUUUUGAAAACCACCUAAAAUCCUUCCAGAAACAAUCAUGUGCCGAUCAGUGACGUCAGAAAUGACCCAUCAGUGAGGUGCCGCUUUUCUCGCCAAGGCCCCGCUCGCCCCAGCCCCGCGGCGCUCACUCUGUUCGAGAGGCCGGGCAGCCUGCUCGCCAAGGCCACUUUCGCCCGGGGACAGCAGUGCUUUUUCAGUCCCCUCGGCCACCAGGGGUCUAGCUAAGGGUGGGGAUCGCCAGCCCCCAAGGGCCUGAGGCCCUCAAAGCGGGGCCGGAGGCAGGCACUUGCACCACGUCCGCCACCAGCACCAGCGCGAGCUCCGCCCGACCGCUCCCUCUUCACGACGGCGAGACGCGAGCAAAGCAACUGAACACACGCGCCCCCAGCACAGCGCACGCGGCGGGCCGGCCCGGCGAGAACCUGAGCAAAAGCCCAGAUCGCUCCUCUGCUGUGAAAGCGCGUUACUGGAAGCCAGGAGGGAUGAAACCACAAAGCAGCAGCAUUCACUCAGACUCCCAAUACGCCGCCAAACAAACGGCACGGCCCUGCCCCGCCUGAUGUCUGCGAGGGUCCGAGCUCUCCAUCUGCAAACGGCGGAGGCCGGACAGAGGCUGAGGCUUUGGGGACAGACAGCUGUGGGGUGACCCCAGCCCCCCCUGGUCCUCACUGCGGGAACCUGGACAACGUGCUUAGGGCCCUGGUUUUCUCAUCUGCAAAAUGGGAGUGAUGAGCCCACCCCGCGUGGAGGAAGAGGGGGUGGGGAUACAAUGGCAGCAGAACAAGGAAAGGCGACGGGGCGGGGCUGCCCAAGAAGGAAUGCAGGCAAGUGACAGGCUCCCUGAGACUGUGAGCCCGUGAGGUCUGGGACCCGGAUUACUGGGUUCAUUUCUGUCCCCCAGCGCCUGACGGAAGGCCUGGGGAGCAAGGGCCUCAGGCCCCUUUAACUGGCUGCAAUGACAGGCAACUCCGACUGAAACUGCCCACGGGCCAGACCCCAGGCUGAGCGCUCCACGGGCACAAUCUCAUUUAAUCCGCACAACUAGUUCCUCUUCCAGACAGGAAACAUAAAGAGGCUUAGGAAUCUGCCCAUCAUGGUGGAACCUGGCCAGGAACUCAGAAUUCAAAAUGAACUAUAGGAGUUCCCCAGCAGCUCAGCCAGUUAAGGACCCGGUGUUGUCACUGCUGGGGCUCAGAUUCAAUCCCUGGCCCAGGAGUUUCCACAUGCCUCAGGCGUGGCCACAAAAUAAAAUAAAAUCUGAACUCCAAAUCGGCCUCAGGGCAGAGAGGGGGACAGAGGAAGUAAGAGCUGGAGGCUUGGAGGUAGCUUCACAGAGACCACGGUGCCGGCUCUGGGGCCUUGAAGGACAGCAAGAUUGGAGACAGACAGGGAGGGAAUUUAAGGAGAAGCAGGAGCCGACUUUCCAGAGCUGUCCCGUACGGGCCCUUUCCCCCUCCUGGAGGCCUGGCCGCAGCCCCCACGCGUCAGACUCUGCAGUCGGUCCCCAGGCCACUGGGAUUUCCGAGCGGGGCCACGCUGCCCU
rnacentral:lncRNA from 1 species